GACGAACGCUGGCGGCGUGCUUAACACAUGCAAGUCGAACGGAAAGGCCCUGCUUGCAGGGUACUCGAGUGGCGAACGGGUGAGUAACACGUGGGUGAUCUGCCCUGCACUUCGGGAUAAGCCUGGGAAACUGGGUCUAAUACCGGAUAGGAGCCAUUUUUAGUGUGAUGGUUGGAAAGUUUUUUCGGUGUAGGAUGAGCUCGCGGCCUAUCAGCUUGUUGGUGGGGUAAUGGCCUACCAAGGCGGCGACGGGUAGCCGGCCUGAGAGGGUGGACGGCCACAUUGGGACUGAGAUACGGCCCAGACUCCUACGGGAGGCAGCAGUGGGGAAUAUUGCACAAUGGGCGCAAGCCUGAUGCAGCGAGGCCGCGUGGGGGAUGACGGCCUUCGGGUUGUAAACUCCUUUCGCUAGGGACGAAGCUUUUUGUGACGGUACCUAGAUAAGAAGCACCGGCUAACUACGUG
rnacentral:rRNA from 1 species